CAAUAGCGUAUAUUAAAGUUGUUGCAGUUAAAAAGCUCGUAGUUGGAUUUGUGGCGUACGGUGCGUUCCGGGCACUUGUUGUCUGAGUAACCUGCUGUUGCCAUCCUUGGGUGGAACCUGUGUGGCAUUAGGUUGUCGUGCAGGGGAUGCCCAUCAUUUACUGUGAAAAAAUUAGAGUGUUCAAAGCAGGCUUAUGCCGUUGAAUAUAUUAGCAUGGAAUAAUGAGAUAGGACUUUUUUGCUAUUUUGUUGGUUUGCGCAAGAAGGUAAUGAUUAAUAGGGACAGUUGGGGGUAUUCGUAUUCCAUUGUCAGAGGUGAAAUUCUUGGAUUUUUGGAAGACGAACUACUGCGAAAGCAUUUACCAAGGAUGUUUUCAUUAA
rnacentral:rRNA from 1 species